GGGAGAGAGGGGAGCAGCUGGAGGUCAGAGGUAACAAGGGGCAGGGAACUAAAAUGUCUAGAUUAUAUAGCCAAGAGCCUGGGGGUGGGGGAGCCCAGCCCCUGGGCUGGAGAGUUGAGGGUGGGGUAUGCCAGCCAUACCCUGUACAGGGUAAGGACUGAGGGAUGCUGGGAGAACUUGGAGGCUAGGCACUCUUCGAUAUGUUAAAUAAGCACUUCUGCCACUUGUCCCAGGUUGAAACUUAACAGUUCUGGAGUAGCAUCUCCCAGCAUUGUAUGACCAGCCAUAGGGUAGGAGUGAGUCUCUCCUUGUGAACUAAAAGUGGAAGGGUCUUUCGAAUGCCUUGGGGUAGCCAUGGAGUCAGACGGUACAAGGCCAUGUACCAGCCUCUGUCUAGUGUGCUCUUAUAGAGCAAAAUAAGAACUUAAAACAAGGGAGUGGGCUCCCGGGGAGAAAGUACAUGUUCUCUGCCAGGCCCCAUUAGCAGCCCCUUAUCCCGAGACUCAGUGUUCAGUGGGAUCAGGCGGGGCUAGCCUUGGAACCACCCACACAGGCCAGGGAAAGUGUCCCUCCUGGCCCCAGUUUCCAAGAUGAUGAUGAGGACGAAGACGACAACGACAGAACAGGUGACCAACCACACUUGUGAGCAGAAGCUUCCAGUGAACGUGUCAGCACUGCCGCUUUGGCAGCUUUGGCCUCUCAACUUGAAUGCGUAGGGAUUUGAAUCCACUCUUGAAGCAGAGACUUUCCCCUCAGACUGAGAUAAAUACAGACAAACCACACAGGAGGCCCUGACUUGGGGAGAGAGUUGGAAGAUUCAGCAAGCUGCUUCUUGAGGGGGCGGGGAGGUGGGAGGGGUCACCCAACCUGAGAACACACAACUUCCUCUUCAGAGUCAAAACACUAAGAAAGAGCUGAGAAGCGGGCCAAUAAAGAGCCAAGAGAAAAAAAAUGGAGGAAGAGAGAAUUUCCACGGAAAUUACUGAGUGGAAAACCCUUUCCUUGAUCUCAUGGGCCCAUGCCAGCCUCGGGCCAACUUCGAAGUUAAAAGAAGGUGAAUAAUGGGUUUGAGAACUGUGUAAAGAGUGUAGCUGAUCAGAGGAAGACAUACGGAGCUGCAAAUGAAAGAGGUGAAGUAGGAUCUGGAUUUGGUGGAAAGCUCAUGGGGAGUUAUGUUCUGUAGUAAGGUUUGAGUGCUCGGUUAAAGACUGUAAAAUGUUACCAAUAAAAUGCAAAAUGGGCAAAGACUUGAAAAGAUUGAGGAAGCUCCAGCCAUUCAGACUUUGGGAGGUGAAACCAUCACCUGCUGCUGCUGCUGCUGCCGCUGCUGCCUCUGCCACCACCACUUUCUUAGCCAGGGCAUCACCACCGCCCCAGAUUGAGCCAGGCUGGGGCUGCUCUUGGGUUUCUGUCAGCUAAUAACAUACCGUUUUUGUUAUUCAGUUUAGAUGCCGGUGUUCUUGCUGAGGGCCAGCUCCCAGCUGUGCCCUUCCCCGACCUUCCCUUUCUAUCUGUCUGUCCUCUGUAGCCUCUCAUCCCAGCUCUCAUCAUUCCACCAAACAAAGUCUCAGAAACGAAAGCCCUGGCUGGAUUCCAGUUCCCUCUCCUGAGCUCUUCCGUACUCUUUAUACAUACAUCCAUACAUACAUACAUACAUACAGAUACACACAGAGAUACACAUACAGACACACAUACAUAGACACAUACAAACACAGAGAUACAGACACACAGACACAUGCAUAUACAUACAUACACACACAGAGAGACACAGACACACACAACGAUACACAUACACACAGAAGAAACAUAUACAUACAUACAUAGAUACAUACAGACACAAAACACACACAGGCACACACACACAGAGAGACACAGAGACACAGACACACACAAAGAUACACAUGCACACAGAGACAUAUACAUACAUAGAUACAUACAGACACAAAGACACACACAGGCACAGACACAUACAUACAUACAUAGACACAGACACACAUGCAAACAUAGACACAUACAGACACAGGGACACACACAGAUACAGAUACACACACACAGAGACACAGACAUACACACACCAUCACCACCUCAUCUUCCUCCUCCUCCUCUUCUUCCUCCUCCUCUUUCUCCUCCUCUUGGUUGCCCCCUGCCCCCCAGUACUAGUGUACAGGGGUGCCACCAUGUUUGACUUUUCCUUAAUGUAGUGUGCUGGAGACUAGGAGUCAGGUCCCCACGGUUACCUCACAAGAACUUUACUGAGUCAUCUCCUCCAUCUUCCAUUUUUUAUUUUAUUUUAUUUUAUUUUUGGCUUUCAGAGACAGUGUCUCACUAUGUAGCUUUUCCUGGCCUGAGACUUCUCCACAGACCAGACUUGCCUCAAAUUUGGAGCAGUUGUCCUGCCUCGGUCUUAGCCUCCCACCACACCUGGUCUCCAGCCGUGAUGACAGGGCUGAUGAGGAACCAACGAGGGUCCUCGCGGAAGCCUAGGGAAACAUCAGAAAUUGAAGUAUAGCACAUCACUGUGGAAUGAUAGGAAACUGAGCCGGUGGGGUAGGACCAGCUAUCCUACAUCAGAGACCAGGGUCCUGCCUCUACUGGACACAGACCUAAGUGCCCGGCAUGGAAAGAGCUCUGUCCUGAGGCUCACAGUCUAGCAGGGAUGGUAGACAGGGACACCUCUGCGUGCGGUCGGUCUUGUGAAGGGCCUAGGACAAGUCUCAGGAUUACUAUUUAGUAUGGUGAUACCUUCUUCAUCGGUUUGUCCCAGGAAGCCAGUAAGGAACCUGUCCAGGAGCUAAUUCUGCCUUUCCUAAGGAACCAUCACUGGCUGGAGCCCAAGAGCAGAGUACAGGCUAUGCUGUGCCCUGAGAAGAGAUGAGUACAUGCGCCCAGCCCAUGGAGUACGUUGCAGGGCGCCUGCUGGCUGCCUAUACAUAGCACUAGGACCUGAGCAGGGCUUCUCCCCCCCCACCCCCAACAGGGAGGAACGUUGCCUAAGGCUCUUGGUAGAGCCUCCCACUUUACUGGAGAAGCUUGGUAAGGGAGUGGCAAAGGGUCCAACUCCUCUGCUGAGUUCUCUGUCGCAGUCACAUUAACCCAGUCUACUUCCUUCACCCCACGGAUGUUGUUCCCAAGAGCUCCUCACGCCUCCUACAUGAGCAUCCCCAUCUCGGGAACUGUUUCCAGGGAAACGAACACAAGGCAAACCAGUCUUUCAUAACUGCUAUGUCUGCUCUACGUCAAUACCACUAGGGUCCCGUGGGAAGAGUGAGCUAGCCUGGAAACCCCUAUGCUUGUCAUCUUGCACCUGGGUGGAGGGGGGAUGCAUUAGAAACUAGCCAAAGAGGACAGGAAGCAUAGGGGCCAUUGCCAGUCUGUGGGGAGGAGGGGACCCCAGGAUUUCCAGAUUUGAAACAUAUCCUUUUUUGCAUUUCCAGACACUGGGAGCAGCUCACACCAUCCGGAAACUCUUCCCUAUUUCAAAGCUGGAAUUCCUCCUUCCUUAAUGCGUCCCCCACUUCCUUUCCCCUUUUCCUCAUGUGGCUGUGUUCUUGCCAGCAAAGAAAGUUGAAAAGGAACAAAGGCAUAUGGUUUUCCUAUUAAGACUGACGCCCACGUGUGAGGGGAGCCAGAGGGAAGUGUUCAAAUAAGGGCAACGGAAAUACAUUUAUGUGACACUCAUUUUAUAGGCUGUUUUUUUUUUUUUUAAAAAGCUUGUCCAAAACAAUGAGAUUCUCCUUUGUCCCACUUAUUACAUGUUUGGGAUAUUUAGGAUGUCCUGGAGACCCCUCUACAGAGAGGUAGGAGAAUACAGAAGACCCCGGGUCUAGCUUAUAACAAGUGGUACAGACUUAUUUCUGAGCUGCAUAUGGUGGUACAUGCCUAGAGCCUCGGCUACUCGGCAGGGGUGAGGGAGUGGCGGUCACUUGAGCCUGGCCAGAGCCACAUUGGGAGAAACCGUCCCUUCCUCCCUCCUCCCUCCAAAGUCUUAUUUCUGCCAGACAUUAGCUGUGGACCUACCAUGGUAUACACUCAAAAGUUCCAACACUCAAGAGGCUGAGACAGAGGGAUUGUGAGUUUGAGACCAGCCUGGGCUACAUAGAGAGAGAAACCCUGCCUCAAAAAAGGGUCUGAGAGAAAGCCAAGGGCUGAGAGAAGGCCAUCUCAGCCUCACUGGUUAAAGAGCUUACUACACAAACCCAAAGAUAAGAACUGGAGUUCAGAUUCUCAGAACUCACAUAAAUGCUGGGUGACAACGGUGGUGGCUCGUCACAGCCUUUAUAAUCCUCAGCUUCUCCUAUUGGACAAUCGGGUUGCGAUAGCCUUGCCACGUUCUACACAGGGGCCUUGCCUGGUGCAAAGGAGGUCCUGACAAUGGAAGAGAAAGGGAAGGGAGAAAGAGAGGUAAGAGAAGAGGAGGGAGGUGGGUGAUUACUCACACCAGAGCUAGACCUCGGUUGGCACAGUGCUCACCUAGCAGGGGCUUCCUUGUUCCCACCAUACUUCGUGCCCUGACCUAGCUGGCAUGCCCCACCUUCCGUCUCAGCAGGGGACAGCUGGCCUUGCUGUUGUCACCAGUACAUAUAACUUUUUUUUUUCUGUGAGUUCCGUAAGUUCCGAGGACAGUUUGGCAGGCUUUGGGGACAAGCACCUUUGCCUCCUGAGCCAUCUCCACAGCUCCUGCUUAUGCCUGAAAACGUCUACUGUGCACAUAAACCUCAUUUUCCUUACCCAUCCCGCUGUUCAUACAGUACUGCAAUAAACAUUGAUUUGCAAGUGUCUCCGCGAUUGGCUGAUAGCGAACCUCCUGGGUAAAUACCAAGAAGUGAGAUGGCUGAUCAUAUGGAAUAUCUAUUUUUGUGUAUUGAGAAAUGACAUGCUGACUUCCACAGUCAGCUUAGUUUCCAGUCCCGCUAGCAAUGACUAAGGGCUCUCUUUUGCCCACAUCACCACCAGCAUCGUUUGUUGUUUGUUUUCUUUAUGACUGUCUUUCGGAGCCAGGCCAGGUAAGGUAGUCCCCAUGUAGAUUCCAUAUGCGUUUCUCUGAACGCUUUUGAAGUUGACUUUCCCAUGUGCUUAUUGGCUAUUUACGCUUCCGGUUUUGAGGUCUGUCAGUCCACUUCAUCUGCCCAUUUUGAACUUGUUCGUUUGCUUUUUUGUUUGUUUUAGUUCUUUGCACGCUGUAGAUAUUAAUUCUCUGUCAGAUGUAUAGCUGGUACAGAUAUUUUUUCCCCAUUCUAUAGGCUGUCUUCUUGAUCAGUUGUCUCUAUUCCCAGACUCAUUUCUAAACACC
rnacentral:lncRNA from 1 species